ensembl:snoRNA SNORA73 Small nucleolar RNA SNORA73 family
CCAACGUGGAUACUCCGGGAGGUCACUCUCCCUGGGCUCUGUCCAGGUGGCAUAGGGGAGCAUGGGGCUCUGCCCUGUGAUGUACAGUCUCUUUCCACAACGUUGGAGAAGAAGCUGGGCCUUGUGUCUGUGCCUGCAUAUUCCUACAACUUCUCAGAGUCCUUUGGGCAGUAACUAAGGAGAUAAACCAUGCAGGAAACAAUG